CCAGCUGUCCUUGUCAGUAUUGGGUAAGUGUUCAGAUUUCCCCAGCUCUCGGCAAAGAAAGGGGCUGUCUUGGAGAAGCAGGCCCUUGUCUGUGGCCUCCUCAGAGCUUCGAAAUGACAGCAUCUGUGCUGACCCCGGUGUGACCUGAUCCUGUCAGCUCCCCAACAGCCUUGCAGAAGCAGGAAAGAAGUCUGGAGUAGAGGAAUGUUUAGGGCAGGGGUGAGGCUGCUGUCUUGAGGGAAGGCCUCUGUGCUGGCCAGACCUGGAACAGGAGGUAGGCUAACUUGGCAAGAGGACGCACCAGGACUUUGCUGCUCGCCUUUGUUGGAAGGGCAAAGGGCAGGAGGUGGAGACCAGGAACUUGGUGUCUUGUUCUCUUUUCUGCAGGAGAUCCAUUCAGAAGGUUUGCUUGAGCACACAGGUUCCUGUGUGGGAAAGAGGCUCCCAUCCCCCACCUCUAGCUGGCAGGAACUGGCUUUCUAUGACCGAUGCUUAAGCAUUAAACUUAAACUGCAGGGAAUAACGGCGGGCACUCUAAAGGAAACCACACCUGGCCAAAUGGUCUUUAAUAAAGACAAAAGAGAAAAGACUAAAAAAAAAAAAAAAAAA
rnacentral:lncRNA from 1 species